CUCAUGUAAGUGUUCCGUAAGUGUCCCAUCAAUGUACUGGCUCUAUGCUGGAAUGUGAGAUUUGAUGGGCUCAAAUACAGAGAAAUUUUGUUUCAAGGAAUCAAGCAUCUUGUGCAAAGCUUUCAAAAUGUAAGCAGGUGCUGUGAACUGUAGUAUUGGUAUACUACCAAGUAAAAGAACAGCAGAGGAAAAGAUAUAAAAAAUGUAAAAAGAAUUAAUGUGAAAUCGAGACUUAGUUUUAUUAUAUGAGGGUUAGCCACUGUUUUACUGACCUACAUCAAUUGAGGAUUACAGAGAUUAGUGAAAGGAAUACUUAAUAGCUGAACUGUGGAUUCCAAAGAGGAUUAUCUGAUGGGACAACUGAGAGAGUUAAAGAGAGAAAUGAUCUACCCAAGUCACAAAACAAGUCAAUCCAGGAGUAGAACUCAAGAGCUUUUGGCUCCCAGCUCCACAUGCAUGACUUUGGAUCAUGCCGCCUUGCUGCCAAUAUACUAAUAACAAUUUAUUGCACAUCUCAAUACAGUGCAGUAAGUUCUGUGUGCUUAAGCAGAACAAUUCAUUUUUUUCUCAUUAAUACUAAGUCUAUUUGUUGCUCAGCAGGACUAAUAUUUAUACAUUCUAGAUCUUGUGAUGCAGUAGCAAGCUCUGAUUUCAGUUCAAUCUGACAGGUUCUGAGAGCAAAAUGUCAUUAUAGAACUUCAAAAGCAAUUGCUCCAUAGCAAGAUCUUUACAAUUAUCUUUAUAAUAUCUUUCAACUCCUGUUGGCUUCUUGAUCUUCUGUGGAAAUCCCAACUCGUCUGCCAGUUUUGGUUUAUGAAAAGUUGACCCUUAAGGCAUAACUAUUUUAAAAAAGAUAUGCCAAAAUGUUACAAGAUAUAGUAGAUUUCACCCAGUUUGAUAUCCCUUCUGGAAUACGCAUAUAAUAAAAAUUGCAUUUUUACUAAGUAAUUGGCCAUAUGAAUCACAUGCUAUUCAUGUAUUGUUCAUGAAUCAAGCCAAGAGCCAUUUAAAAAUGACUAGCAUCAGGGAAAUGUAAUAGCUUUUCAACAGAUUAUUUAAAUGACUGUAGCUAUGAUUUCCAAUAAUUUUUAUCGAAACAGGAAGGCUUUAGCAAACUGUGGCAGGACUCUCUCCGAAAAGAGUACCUUUCUGAUUAAAACCUUUUGCUACUGGAUUUAAGAAAUUAAAGAAAAAAGGGGAACCUCUGAGUUAUGUAUGCAUCUGUCAAAUCCUGGAUCUUUAUCAUGUAACAAUUUGACCAAUCACAGGUAAAAAAAGGGGUGGUUUGGGAGGGAUAUUUUUCACUUUAUGAAUCACAGCUAAUAACGUAGUUUAGUACUUUCUGAACAGGCAGUUCCUGCAAACUGACCAACCUGUAGAUUGUGUUCCUAGUAGUUUCUGGUGCAAUAGUUUGGCAUGCAUGAUGCAUUUGGAGAGUGAUUUGCCAGCAUUCCAGCAACAUAUGAACUUUAGCUAGAAUUUCUUAUCACAGAUAAGCACCAGUUCGAAUUCCUUGAUUGUUUGAUUGUCUAUACUAUAAAGCCAGAUGUAUUUCACAGCAUCAGCUGUAUUCACCUAUUUCUUUUCUUGUUGUUGCAGCUUGCAUCCUUGACCUGAUUUUGCCAAUGGCUACCUGGCCUCUCAACACGUUGCUUUUCAGGAAUAUUUUCUAAUAAUGACAACUAUAGUUAACAUUUAUAUUUAUACUGUACAAUUAUACUUAACUAUUUAAAAUUUCAAAAAGCUGCAAAACAUUCAUUAAUUUGCCAGAUAAAAUCACUAUGGGGUAGACAAAUAGGAUCAUUACCCCCAGGUUAUAGAUGAGGAAACUGAGGCUGAAAGAUUAAAUGUCUUGCCCAGUGUCACAUGGCAAGUCUAGUGGCAGAAGGAGGGUUAAACUGAAAGUUACCCCUUCUGGGUGCAUUCCUCGAGACUGGGUCUCUCAUCUUUGUUUAAUAGUGUAGACCAUAUCUUAGUAGAGGGAUUCCCCUGUGAACUCCUCUUGUCUCCUCAGGAUCCCAUGUGAUCUCAACUACAGAAAUUGUUUACAAAGAAAAAUAAUAUUAGGAAAGUGCCAGCCUGCUGUGACCAGCCAGCAACUCCCCGGUCACCAGCAAGUACCCUGUGGACAACCAGCAGUUCACUGAUCACAGUCUGAGAAUCACUACUUUAGCACUAUAUCUUGAGGUUUAUUCCUCUAGGUCACAUUGCCUCCUGGUACAGUAUUGUUAAUUAAUCUUUUAUUAAACAAUUCUCCAAGCACAAAUAAAGAAUUUUGGUUGUUAACAUACAUAAGUUAUAUUAAAGAAGGUUUCAGAUCAGCACAUUGUAUUUUGGAGCAAAGUCAUAAAAUAUGCUAACAUGCUAACAUCUAAUGAGGGAAAUGUUGCAUGCAGAUGUCUGUUUGCCUAUUAUCCCAUAAAAUGACUGUAUAUUUUUAUUUAUAUGAGUAACAUCAGACACAAAUGUGUUACCAUAAAUGCAUUCAUUUAGGAAAAUGUAUAAACACAAUAUGAAACUAAUAUAUAUGUAAAACUGUUUUAAAACCUGAUAUUUAAUGUUUAU